GAUGAACGCUGGCGGCGUGCCUAAUACAUGCAAGUCGAGCGAACGGACGAGAAGCUUGCUUCUCUGAUGUUAGCGGCGGACGGGUGAGUAACACGUGGAUAACCUACCUAUAAGACUGGGAUAACUUCGGGAAACCGGAGCUAAUACCGGAUAAUAUUUUGAACCGCAUGGUUCAAAAGUGAAAGACGGUCUUGCUGUCACUUAUAGAUGGAUCCGCGCUGCAUUAGCUAGUUGGUAAGGUAACGGCUUACCAAGGCAACGAUGCAUAGCCGACCUGUGAGGGUGACCGGCCACCACGGAACUGAGACACGGUCCAGACUCCUACGGGAGGCAGCAGUAGGGAAUCUUCCGCAAUGGGCGAAAGCCUGACGGAGCAACGCCGCGUGAGUGAUGAAGGUCUUCGGAUCGUAAAACUCUGUUAUUAGGGAAGAACAUAUGUGUAAGUAACUGUGCACAUCUUGACGGUACCUAAUCAGAAAGCCACGGCUAACUACGUG
rnacentral:rRNA from 1 species